rnacentral:rRNA from 1 species
GACGAACGCUGGCGGCGUGCCUAAUACAUGCAAGUUGAGCGAUGAAGCUUGGUGCUUGCACCAAUUUGAAGAGCAGCGAACGGGUGAGUAACGCGUGGGGAAUCUGCCUUUGAGCGGGGGACAACAUUUGGAAACGAAUGCUAAUACCGCAUAAUAACUUUAAACAUAAGUUUUAAGUUUGAAAGAUGCAAUUGCAUCACUCAAAGAUGAUCCCGCGUUGUAUUAGCUAGUUGGUGAGGUAAAGGCUCACCAAGGCGAAGAUACAUAGCCGACCUGAGAGGGUGAUCGGCCACAUUGGGACUGGGACACGGCCCAAACUCCUACGGGAGGCAGCAGGAGGGAAUCUUCGGGAAUGGACGAAAGUCUGACCGAGCAACGCCGCGGGAGUGAAGAAGGUUUUCGGAUCGUAAAACUCUGUUGGUAGAGAAGAACGUUAGUGAGAGUGGAAAGCUCAUCAAGUGACGGUAACUACCCAGAAAGGGACGGCUAACUACGUG